AUGUACCACCAGGGUGCCCCAUGCACUUGUUCAUCAGGCAGUAUGAGAAAAAUGCAAUUUGACCGUGACUCAGAAGAAAGUUACCAGGAGAAAAGGACAAAACUAGGAGGGGUUGUCCUGAAGCAAAAUAUCCCAAAUGAGGUACAUGCAUCGCAGGUUUAUACCACGACAAUGUUUGAAAAUUUUGGUGAAGCCUUGUAUGAACGUGGGUUGUAUGAUCUAGUAGAAGUCAAGCCACAUUUGGAGUACAUUGCUAGGCACAUCAAAUUUCAGUCGAGGGAAAAGUGGUGCAAGAAUGAGUUUGUGAUUUCCGUGAGCGAGUCGGCUGAUGAGUUCGGGUGCGAGUGUGGGACAUUCGAGCACUAUGGAAUGGUUUGCAGCCAUGCACUUAAGGUCGUGAUACACCUGAAAUUGCAUGAGCUCCCUGCGAAGCAUGUGCUCAGGCAAUGGACUAGAGAUGCAAGAGAUAUACUACUGCCAGAGUAUCUGCGCUGCCAGAAGGAUCAUGGAACGCUGAAGUAUUCUUCUCAUCAACGCAACACUUUGUACCUGCUAGCGCUUGAUGCCGGUAAGUUAGGCGACAGCAAUGUGGAAGCAUGUGCACUUGCUAUGGAGAAAAUGCGAGAUGUCAAAGUGUUGGUCGAGCCAGUUGCCGCCAUGAGGGAUGGGCUUGGUUUGUCUGAUAUAGAGUUGGCUACAGAUUCAGCCGGCUCUAGCGUUGGUAACAAGCAGCACUUUGGCCGAACUGAGUUUGAGCACACCAUUUUGCAAGCAUCCGAUGUGUUCCCGACGCCGAAACGACCGGCUGGGCGUCCCACAAGGUCACAACUAGCCGCGACAAAGCUCCAUACGAGGAACCAUCAAAGAGUAGAUUAUGUUAUGUAUGCGGAGUUCAGGGACACAAGAGCACAACAUGCCUUGCUCGGGGGAUGUGCCAAAGGCACCUAG
rnacentral:rRNA from 1 species